CGUGCCAGCAGCCGCGGUAAUACGUAGGGUGCGAGCGUUAAUCGGAAUUACUGGGCGUAAAGCGAGCGCAGACGGUUACUUAAGCAGGAUGUGAAAUCCCCGGGCUCAACCUGGGAACUGCGUUCUGAACUGGGUGACUAGAGUGUGUCAGAGGGAGGUAGAAUUCCACGUGUAGCAGUGAAAUGCGUAGAGAUGUGGAGGAAUACCGAUGGCGAAGGCAGCCUCCUGGGAUAACACUGACGUUCAUGCUCGAAAGCGUGGGUAGCAAACAGGAUUAGAUACCCUGGUAGUCCACGCCCUAAACGAUGUCAAUUAGCUGUUGGGCAACUUGAUUGCUUAGUAGCGUAGCUAACGCGUGAAAUUGACCGCCUGGGGAGUACGGUCGCAAGAUUAAAACUCAAAGGAAUUGACGGGGACCCGCACAAGCGGUGGAUGAUGUGGAUUAAUUCGAUGCAACGCGAAGAACCUUACCUGGUCUUGACAU
rnacentral:rRNA from 1 species